rnacentral:rRNA from 1 species
UGAGGGAAAGUUGCAAAGAACUUUGAAGAGAGAGUUCAAGAGUACGUGAAACUGCUCAGAGGCAAACGGGUGGGCCCUCGAAAUCCCAUCGCGGAGAGAUUCAGUCCGGAGCGGUAGGAGCGAUCGCCGGCAGCGGACCCCCUUCCAGGGACGGGUCCGGCGACGCCGUUCCGCCCGCGCCGGACGCACUUCUCCCCGCGCUCGGGACGCCGCGACGGAUCGGGUAGCAGCGAGAGUCGGCCUUGAGGCGGCCCCAGGCAGGUGGCCGGCGUCGGUAGUCCCGUCUCGGCGGGGUCUUCCGGCAGUCGGCUAUUCACGGGGCCGCGACGUGGCGCGACACCCGAUCGAGGUCCAGGUCCGCUCUACGCGGACGACUCCGUCUCCGUCUCCCACGAGGCGCGGCGAACGGGCCAGUGAGCGCCGGCGACGCCGAACCACCCCCCGCGGUGGCCGGUGCGUCGGUACGCCGCCGUUGGGUCCGUUCGGGCCGCUGGAGACUUCGGAGAGGUCGGCGGCGAACAGGUCGGUCACCCACCCGGCCCGUCUUGAAACACGGACCAAGGAGUCUAACAUGUGCGCGAGUCGCAGGGUCUUGAACAGGCCCGCGGGCGCAAUGAAAGUGGAGGUCGGCUAGUCCGACCGAGCUGGGACCCCCGCCCAGAGCGGGGAGCACCAGCGGCCCGUCCCGUCCGGUCCGCCGGUGGGGCGGAGUCCGAGCGCACACGUUGGGACCCGAAAGAUGGUGAACUAUGCCUGGGCAGAACGAAGCCAGAGGAAACUCUGGUGGAGGUUCGCAGCGGUUCUGACGUGCAAAUCGAUCGUCAGACCCGGG